UUUGGCUGGAAGCAGGGGGAUGAGGAACACACAGAAGAGGACCUGGCAUCUGUCAUCCCAUCAACAGUCCUCAGUGAUUCUCCCAUGAACUGCAUGUGGGAAUGUGAGCCCCAGGCCUGGCAUUCCCUGCCAGGUGAUGAUGGUGGAGCACGCUGGGAUGAAGGAGCCAACGGAGCACAGCCCGGAGCAGCAUUAGGGCCUCCGCGUGUGAGCUGAACCUGCCUGGACACGGCUGGGAUGUGCACAUCUGGGGCUGCCAUGGCCACUGGGGAGAAGAGCCGGGUGCUGCAGAGAGAAGUGGGCAACCCCACAAUGUUGUUCCUAUGAGAAGUUCCUGUGAAACCUCCUCUGUGAUCCCUCUGCCAGACUUUGCAUCCUGGAGAUCAUGGAUGGCAGCAUUUGGUUCUGGGAACGCCCAGGAGAGCAGGUGCCACACCUUGCUAUUGGGGGUGAAUUACAUGGUGGCCCUGAAGAUGCCGUCAAGGUGGUGGGCAGAGCUCCCAUGGGCCCUGCACAAGGUGGAGUGUGAGGAAUCCAACAUUCUCCAGUGGAACAGGGACCAGGGAGGAGAGAAAUGCACUGGGGAAGGGGUGAAGUGUGGGGUUUUGGGGAAAUCAUGGCAAAGAGCAUCUGCCAGGGCAGUGGAGAUAGAUAUCUGGGGCUGAAGCUGCUGAUGAUCUGAAGAAAGAUAAGGAAGGAGCAAUGUCCUAAGUCAUCCUUGAAAUACUCACUGUAAGAGCCAGAGGGCCUCCU